rnacentral:rRNA from 1 species
AUUGAACGCUGGCGGCAUGCCUUACACAUGCAAGUCGAACGGUAACAGGUCUUCGGAUGCUGACGAGUGGCGAACGGGUGAGUAAUACAUCGGAACGUGCCCAGACGUGGGGGAUAACGAGGCGAAAGCUUUGCUAAUACCGCAUACGAUCUAAGGAUGAAAGCAGGGGACCGCAAGGCCUUGCGCGUUUGGAGCGGCCGAUGGCAGAUUAGGUAGUUGGUGGGAUAAAAGCUUACCAAGCCGACGAUCUGUAGCUGGUCUGAGAGGACAACCAGCCACACUGGGACUGAGACACGGCCCAGACUCCUACGGGAGGCAGCAGUGGGGAAUUUUGGACAAUGGGCGAAAGCCUGAUCCAGCAAUGCCGCGUGCAGGAUGAAGGCCUUCGGGUUGUAAACUGCUUUUGUACGGAACGAAAAGGCUCUGGCUAAUACCUGGGGCACAUGACGGUACCGUAAGAAUAAGCACCGGCUAACUACGUG